AAUAGAUACCCAGGUAGUCCACGCCGUAAACGAUGAGUGCUAAGUGUUAGGGGGUUUCCGCCCCUUAGUGCUGCAGCUAACGCAUUAAGCACUCCGCCUGGGGAGUACGGUCGCAAGACUGAAACUCAAAGGAAUUGACGGGGGCCCGCACAAGCGGUGGAGCAUGUGGUUUAAUUCGAAGCAACGCGAAGAACCUUACCAGGUCUUGACAUCCCACUGACCGCUAUGGAGACAUAGUUUUCCCUUCGGGGACAGUGGUGACAGGUGGUGCAUGGUUGUCGUCAGCUCGUGUCGUGAGAUGUUGGGUUAAGUCCCGCAACGAGCGCAACCCUUGAUCUUAGUUGCCAUCAUUUAGUUGGGCACUCUAAGGUGACUGCCGGUGACAAACCGGAGGAAGGUGGGGAUGACGUCAAAUCAUCAUGCCCCUUAUGACCUGGGCUACACACGUGCUACAAUGGACGGUACAAACGGUUGCCAACCCGCGAGGGGAGCUAAUCCGAUAAAACCGUUCUCAGUUCGGAUUGUAGGCUGCAACUCGCCUACA
rnacentral:rRNA from 1 species